rnacentral:lncRNA from 1 species
UUGGGACCAAUUCUUUUCUUGCUCCUGAUUGUUUUUUGGCUGCCAAAUUUGUUUGGCUUCAAGGUUCAAAAACUUUCACGAUCUCUCUCUUUCAAGGAAAAUCCAGAUUGAAAAUCAUCGUUCUGGUUCCAAGUAUGUCCCUUUUUUUCUCUUGGAAAAGAAUGAACUUUUCUUUGUGUUCUUUGAAAGUUCAAUUCCGUGGUUGUCUUUUUGGUUUUCUUCUUUCUUUCUUUUUUUUGUUUCAUUAAUAGCUGUGAUUAAAGCUCGAUUAAGGUUGUUGGCUUGAAAUGGCGUUAAGCUAUUCCAACACAUGAACUUUUUCUUUUUCUUUUUUUCAUGGUAAAAGGGGAUGUUGGGAAAUAUUUAUAGCUUGGGAUUUCAUGCUAAUGGAAACAUUGAUAUAUUUUCAGGUGUAUUUGGUUAGGAAGAAUAUCUGAUUUUGCUUGGUUCUGUUAGAACAAAGUCAGCAGCAACAAGUUAUUUGCUUAAGAACUAAAUGAAACCGAGAGCAAAAAUGAAAAGAACUUGAGCACAAGUACAAAACAUGGAUCAAAAUCAGCAGCAAUCUUUAUUGAUUGAUAAUGAAAAAAUAAAUACAAAGUUAACAAGUCAAAUGACCAUUACCUAAUGAUUCACCUACUCCCACUAAUAAUCAACUAAUACAAGUUAAAUUUUAAACCAAAGCAAGCUGAUGUAUCAGUCAUUACAUCCAUUACAUCAAAAAUCCUACUAACUUAGAUUACAAAUUACAAACAAACUAAAGUUGGUUACAUUGGAACAAAAAGAACAAAAUUAGUCCUAAGCUAGUUGCUGCAUUCGGUUCUGCUCCACUGCUGGUCUGCUUGCUGACUUGCUGGCCAUAUGUUGCAUUGCAGGCCAAUGCUUACCAGGUUCAUUUGAUUUCAACUGCUUUUUCUUUUCUUUUCCUACUAUUCUAAUUUGUGGGUAUGUUUAAAAUUUUCAAGCUUGUUUUAGCUAAAUUUAGAUGCUGGAACUUGGAAGAUCAGUCUUGAAAGCUUCACACUAGUUCAUAAAAAAAUUGUUCUUUUUUCAACUUAAUUAGCAUAUCCUCAAAUCUCAUGUUUGUAUGUUGUGGAUGAAUCAUAACUUAGGCAGAAACACCUUUCCUUCAAAGGAAAUCUAAAGUUGAAAUCCUUUUUUCUCAAUUAACUUUGUACUUUAUAUAUCUCCGUAUAUGUACUAGAAAAACAGUUCUUUUUCUAUUGAUCUUUAUUUUUCAAGUUAACUUUCUGUUUUGUUAGCUUUGAUGUUCUCUUUAUGGAUGUGAUUAUUUAUAGGAUUGUUAUUUGGUAAAUUAUUGCUGUGCAUAAACUUUAUAUCUAAUAUACUGGACAUUGUGAUGAUAGAAU